UACGGAGGGUGCGAGCGUUGUUCGGAAUCACUGGGCGUAAAGCGCGUGUAGGCGGCUUCUUAAGUCCGAUGUGAAAGCCCGGGGCUCACCCCCGGAAGUGCAUUGGAUACUGGGAAGCUGGAGUACCGGAGAGGAGGGUGGAAUUCCUGGUGUAGCGGUGAAAUGCGUAGAUAUCAGGAGGAACACCUGUGGCGAAGGCGGCCCUCUGGACGGAUACUGACGCUGAGGAGUGAAAGCGUGGGGAGCGAACAGG
rnacentral:rRNA from 1 species